AGCAAAGGAGCAAGAAGUACAACUCUGCCUGGUAUAAUGGGACUUCACCUCUUUCAGCUCUUUCUCCUAGUAACAGAUUUAACUAUUGCUUCAACCCUUUCCUGUAUCUUUUAUGUACUUGCCUGCUUUUGCCUUGCAAGUGUCAUUAGCUUUGUCGUCUUCCUGUCCUCCUUUGGAGUCAUUCAGGAAAUGAAGAAAAACAUUGACCAGAAGGGGAAAGCAAUUAGGAUCUUAGUUUCUGCGAGUGCUAUUGGAGGGAAGCUCCUGAGAAAACGACGCAAGAAAUGUCUGGAAUGAUGAAGAACCCUUCAGUCGAGAUAUGGGAAGAGGAGACAGAAUUGUCAAAAGGGCCUUGUGAACAUAAGAAUAACUUUUUAACACCCAGUGAAGGAGAGCUGAGAAAUUUAUAGAUAAUCUUCUGUUCUGUAGUGGGUUGGAUUGUAUAUACUUGCAUUAGCAUUUUAUCCCUGUAAACAUUUGCAGUUCAAUUCCCAGUGAAUACGCGUAAGGACUACAGUUUGAUUUGUUUAACUUUUGUAUACAGGAAUACAAGGAAUGGAUAUCACCUGAUUUAAGUCAGCGUAUAGAAGUCUAGGGAGUUGGCACGCUAAAGUUGGCACCUGAAGGAAGGGUACAUGAUAUUUAAAUUUAUUUAAAUGUGAGAAGGCUGGAAUUCAGGAAUAAAAAAUCACAGUUAAUGGGA